rnacentral:rRNA from 1 species
UGGGGAAUAUUGGACAAUGGGCGCAAGCCUGAUCCAGCCAUGCCGCGUGAGUGAAGAAGGCCCUAGGGUUGUAAAGCUCUUUCAGCGGGGAAGAUAAUGACGGUACCCGCAGAAGAAGCCCCGGCUAACUUCGUGCCAGCAGCCGCGGUAAUACGAAGGGGGCUAGCGUUGUUCGGAUUUACUGGGCGUAAAGCGCGCGUAGGCGGGUCGUUAAGUCAGGGGUGAAAUGCCGAGGCUCAACCUCGGAACUGCCUUUGAUACUGGCGACCUGGAGUUCGGGAGAGGUGAGUGGAAUUCCGAGUGUAGAGGUGAAAUUCGUAGAUAUUCGGAGGAACACCAGAAGCGAAGGCGGCUCACUGGCCCGAUACUGACGCUGAGGCGCGAAAGCGUGGGGAGCAA